CGCAUCUGUGCAUGCAGCAUAUCAAUAAGCGGAGGAAAAGAAACUAACAAGGAUUCCCUCAGUAACGGCGAGUGAAGCGGGAAGAGCUCAAAUUUGAAAUCUUGAAAGGUCACCUUUCACGAAUUGUAGUUUAAAGAAGUGUUUUCUGUUACGAUCGUAAUAUAAGUUCUUUGGAAUAGGACAUCACAGAGGGUGAGAAUCCCGUCUAUGAUUGCAUAUUUGUAGCUUUGUGAUACACUUUCAAAGAGUCGGGUUGUUUGGGAAUGCAGCCCAAAACGGGAGGUAAAUUUCUUCUAAGGCUAAAUAUUGGCGAGAGACCGAUAGCGAACAAGUACCGUGAGGGAAAGAUGAAAAGAACUUUGAAAAGAGAGUUAAAUAGUACGUGAAAUUGUCAAAAGGGAAGCGUUUAACACCAGUGUUGUUUUCUGAAAAUCAACCUCUGUUAGCUUUAUGCAUGUUUGUUUAGACCUAAUCAGCUAUCGUGCAUGUUCUACUGUUUGCAGUGGUGCACUUUUCAGUUUACAGGUCAACAUCAGUUUUUUUUACCGUAAAAAAGUUAAAGAAAGGUAGCUCAUGGCUCCGGUCGUGAGUGUUAUAGUCUUUUCCUAUGCGGUAGGAGAGACUGAGGUCUGCAGUGUAGGCUAUUUGGCUAGAUACUCAGGUGCUAUGUGAUACCAUUUCAUAAACAACUUGUUGAUUAUGUUUUGUCUAUUGCAUACUCGCUUGUACUAUCAUACCUACGCUUAGGAUGUUGACGAUCAGCUGAGCGCG
rnacentral:rRNA from 1 species